rnacentral:rRNA from 1 species
UAGGGAAUCUUCGGCAAUGGGGGCAACCCUGACCGAGCAACGCCGCGUGAGUGAAGAAGAUUUUCGGAUCGUAAAGCUCUGUUGUAAGAGAAGAACGUGUGUGAGAGUGGAAAGUUCACACAGUGACGGUAACUUACCAGAAAGGGACGGCUAACUACGUGCCAU